GCUAGGCUAGCUCAAUUGGUAGAGCAUGAGAUGUGGGUUCGAGUCCCACAGUGGGCA
rnacentral:tRNA from 1 species